rnacentral:rRNA from 1 species
AUGCAGUUCAAAACAAAGGAAGAAGCUCAGGAAUAUUUCAAUUUCUACUCGAAAGUGGCAGGAUUUUCGGUGGCUACAGUAGCAAUCUCAAGAACAGCAAGCAAAAAAAGGAACAAUGAGGUGACAAGGAUCACUAUGAAGUGCAACAAGUGGGGCACAACAAAAGAAAUAGAUAAGGAAUGCAUAGUGCCCAUGAGAAAAUCUACAGUCGUAGCUAAAACAGAUUGUAAAGUCAUGAUGGUCAUAUCAUAAAAAGGAGGCAUGUGGGAAAUCACAAGACAACAACUAGAACACAUCCAUGAGUUAACACCAAACAGUAGAUUCUUCAGGUCACAUAAGUACAUGUCGGAUGAAGAGAAGUGCUUGAUAAGGGUGUUGAAGCAUACAAACCUAGAAGCAAGAAGGAUUGUAGUUGUCCUAGCUUACUUGAGAGGAGGAAUGGCUCAUCUGCCCUACACAAAGAAACAUGUCACGAACUAUGCAACAACAAUUAACAGAGACAUAACAAACUCUGACAUGAUGGAAGUAGUGCAAAUGUUCAACAAGAAGCAAACAGAAAAUCCUGGCUUUUGCUACUCGUUUGAGCUAGAUGGAGAGAAUAAAGUGAGGAGCUUAUUCUAG